UAAGGAAUAUUGGACAAUGGAGGCAACUCUGAUCCAGCCAUGCCGCGUGAAGGAAUAAGGCCCUAUGGGUUGUAAACUUCUUUUAGACGGGACAAAACCCCUUUACGUGUAAAGGGUUGAUGGUACUGUCAGAAUAAGCAUCGGCUAACUUCGUGCCAGCAGCCGCGGUAAUACGAAGGAUGCAAGCGUUAUCCGGAAUUAUUGGGUUUAAAGGGUGCGUAGGCGGACUAAUAAGUCAGUGGUGAAAGCCUGCAGCUUAACUGCAGAAUUGCCAUUGAUACUGUUAGUCUUGAGUACAGUUGAGGUAGGCGGAAUGUGUCAUGUAGCGGUGAAAUGCUAAGAUAUGACACAGAACACCGAUUGCGAAGGCAGCUUGCUAAGCUGUAACUGACGCUGAGGCACGAAAGCGUGGGGAGCAAACA
rnacentral:rRNA from 1 species